GUGGGGAAUCUUGCGCAAUGGGCGAAAGCCUGACGCAGCCAUGCCGCGUGAAUGAUGAAGGUCUUAGGAUUGUAAAAUUCUUUCACCGGGGACGAUAAUGACGGUACCCGGAGGAGAAGCUCCGGCUAACUUCGUGCCAGCAGCCGCGGUAAUACGAAGGGGGCUAGCGUUGCUCGGAAUUACUGGGCGUAAAGGGCGCGUAGGCGGACAGCUUAGUCAGAGGUGAAAGCCCAGGGCUCAACCUUGGAAUUGCCUUUGAUACUGGCUGUCUUGAGUUUGGGAGAGGUGAGUGGAACUCCGAGUGUAGAGGUGAAAUUCGUAGAUAUUCGGAAGAACACCAGUGGCGAAGGCGACUCACUGGCCCAAUACUGACGCUGAGGCGCGAAAGCGUGGGGAGCAAACAGGAUUAGAAACCCCGGUAGUCC
rnacentral:rRNA from 1 species